rnacentral:misc_RNA from 1 species
GCUGGUCCGAGGUCAGGGG